rnacentral:pre_miRNA from 1 species
GAUUUCAACUGAAAAAAUCAUAAAUAACAAAGUGAUAUAACUCAUCAAGAUCUAUAACUUUUAUUUGGGUCAUUUCUUUAUCCGAUAAAGUGAUUUGUAGCAUUGUUUACAAAAUGUACAUAUAUGUUAUAUAGGGUAUAAACUAUAAGAGAGAUAUAUAAAUUUUGUAAACAAUAUUAAUAUCACUUUGUCGGAUGAAAAAAUGACCAAAAUAGAAGUUAUAGAUAUUGAUGAGUUAUACAACUUUGUUGUUGAUGACUUUUUCAGUUGGAAUC